UACGAAGGUGGCAAGCGUUGUUCGGAUUUACUGGGCGUACAGGGAGCGUAGGCGGUUGGAUAAGCCCUCCGUGAAAUCUCCAGGCUUAACCUGGAAAGUGCAGAGGGGACUGUUCAGCUAGAGGAUGGGAGAGGAGUGCGGAAUUCCCGGUGUAGCGGUGAAAUGUGUAGAGAUCGGGAGGAAGGCCGGUGGCGAAGGCGGCGCUCUGGAACAUUUCUGACGCUGAGGCUCGAAAGCGUGGGGAGCAAACAGG
rnacentral:rRNA from 1 species